GUAUGGUCAGGCGGGAUCAUCUGCCAGCUGGAGGUCUCAGGACUGUGGAAAACCAUGUAUUCUAGCAGUAUAUUCUCUGGCCCAGCCGACCAUUACUAUCUUCAUAACGCUUAUGAAACUGUGCCUUCUCUAAGGCCAUUCACAGCUCUCGACUGGGCUAUCCUUCUUUGCCCUCUGUGCAUAAUUUCAUGCUUAUUUGAUCUCCCCAACCUCUGCACUGACCUGGCUUCUUGUGUUAUAUCCUAAACAACUUGUUCUUGGUUUCAUCCACUCAGUUCUCUGGAUCAGCCAGCUUCACACAGAAGUGACAGCACUUCUGAAAUCCCCUCUUAGUCACUUUUGUAACUUCAACCUCUGCUAAAGGUAGACACUCACUCUAUAGACCAGGCCUUGAGCUCAAAGAUCCACCUGCCUCUGCCCCCUGGCCCCCUCCACCUCCCCACGAGUGCUGGGACUAAAGGUGUGAACCACCACCACCACCACCACCACCACCCAGCUCCCUUGUUUUCUUAACAUUGAUCUAUUUAUAACUAGAGUGAGCAAAGCAGUGGUGGUGCACAACUUUAAUCCCACCACUCAGGAGGCAGAGGCAGGUGGAGCUCUGUGAUUUCGAGGCCAGCCUGGUCUACAAUAUGAGUUCCAGGACAGCCAGGGAUACACAGAGAAACCCUGCCUCAAAAAGAAAAUCAAAUAAACCCCCACAGAGUUACACCUUAUCCACUGCCCAAUGUCCUGCCAUUGGUUCCCAGACCAGAGCCUAGAGCCUGAAAUGGUCAUAUGCUCAGGCCCCAUUGCAAAGGACAGUGGGAAGGCACCUGCUUGUCUAACCUCUGGGGUGGCAAAGCUCGGGAGGGACUCCUCCUUAGGCAGCAGAGAUGCUCACUGGUGUGGGCUGUGCACACUCUGGUUUUCUUUCCUCUAAACUUGUGGGCCCCCAGGUUCAAGCUUUUAAUUUUCAGGUUUGCAUAUCUAUAAGUGCCUCCGUGUAUCUAUGUGGACCACAUGUAUGCCUGGUGCCUGUGGAAAUGAGAAGAAAGCAUUGAAUCCCCUCAAAAAGUGUUCUUAACCCCUUAGCCAUCUCUCCAGCCCCAGGUUCAAAUCCUGAGCACCGUCUGAACUAGUCCUGUGUCCAAGACAGUAUCAUCAAACCCUGCCCUUCCCGCCUUGUGCCAGCUCGCGCUUUUUCUUACAUCUGUAUGUUGAUGCUUAGCAGGUUCCUUGAAUGCUUGGUUUAUGUGCCUGGCUGGAGGAGACACCCAUGGCCUUGCAGAGGGAGCGUUCUGGUGGGAAAGCAGACACAACCCACCCUAGGCCCGUGGUUUCCCUGCAAGAAGCCCAGUGGCUUUCUGGAGGACACUUUUCCUGGAGGAAGUGACUCAAGCAGUGGGCAGAGACCACCUCCCUCAUUGCCGCUUUGGGUUUGGACCGCUUUAAACAGUAAAGUGACUGUCGACGGCUCAGUCUACAGGGAGGAGAACAAAAGACAGGGUCAGGGCUGGGCAGACUGGACAGGAGCAGCAUAAGCCAGGCUCUAUGGAAUGUUGGGUGAGCUGCUUGAGGAACUCCAAGGCCUGUCCCACAGUCUUCCAGCCUCCGACUCUCCGGCCCUCAGCGAGGAAGUCCCACUGGUUUUUUUGGUUGGUUUUUUUUUUUUUUUUUAAGGUUUUUUGGUUUUUUUUUUUUUUUCUCAUUCCUGUCUUGGGAGCUUUCCCCAACCAGGAGAGUGAAGAUGGGCGGAGCUGUCACACCAACUGUUAGCCUGCCUUGGCUGAGAGGAGAGGAGGCGAGGAGGGAGCGACCACCCAGCUUUAGUCGUUUUAAAACAGCUCCUGACCCUAGAAGAAGGGAAAUGGAGAUGAAGACCCAAUUGACUUGAGAGAGUGAUCUUUCAGCAGACUGAUCGAACACACAGGCUUCUCAGCCCACUCCCUCCAGUCAAGGUUAAGGCCUGGCAAAGGUGGAGGAAGAGAAGCUGAGGAGAAAAAGGCGAGGAGAGCCUAGGCACAGGAAGGUGACCGCUUCCCUCCCUCCCAGUGCUGAUUUCCUGUGGACCAGAUUCCAGCACAGUGGAGGGCCAGAGCUCAGGGAACAGACCCAGCAGCACAGCAAGUCUCCAAGGAAAGCUCUAGCAGUCUCCAGGGGCUGAAGGCAGGACUGGGGAAGCGGCUAGCCAGGCUGCAGAAGGCAAAUGCUCCCAGACGGCUGUCCAGCACGCAUCCGCCUUCCUAGCCAAGUUUCCUGGGCUCCUGCCACAGAUCUAAGCCUCAUCCUGACAUCCUGCCCUCUGUGCUCUGGGAUGGCCCAGGGGAGAUGCUUAGCCUUGGCUCCUUGUCUGCUGGUGGAGGGGACACACACCCUUUCUGGACCACAGACCAAAAAGAAGACCUGACGUCAUCCUGAGCACCCCCGCCAUGCAGAGUGUGUUCGCAGACUGCCAACGGGCUGGCUCCGGCCAGCAGAAGUGAACAGAGGUGGAGGUUCAGCCUGACAGCUUCUCCCCAAAGCCAUGGAGAGAAAACCUUACCACCCCCACCGCCCAGCUACUUCCAGCAAGUUGUCCAGCCUGACCCCUCUAUUUCCCCUGUUGUCUCUUAUCUGGGUCCCUGAGACCCACCCCAUCUCCAAUAAAGAACAUUGCAUACUGUGCAUCCACUACUGAACAACAUAGUCACACCAGGCAGGGCUCCCUAAAGCCUACCUGCAUGGCCAGCGUGGUCCGAGGACAGUGUGCUCUCCCCACCCUGUCUGCUAGCCUCCAGCUUCAUGGGAACUCCAUUAAUCAUGGGAUUCCGAGAUCAUCAGAGCAAUAGGAUCACUCCGUCUCCAGGGGAGCACAAGGCAAGAGCCAGAGCGGGACUGUUCUUCAGUCAAGGGGCAGGGGUUGCUGCCUCU
rnacentral:lncRNA from 1 species